rnacentral:tRNA from 1 species
GGAGGGGUGGCUGAGUCAUUCGGUGUUAGAUUGUAAAUCUAUUUAGAAGGUGUAUUAAACCUUCUUCUCCA